UAGAACUUGUUUUUAGUUGAGUAUGGAACAAAACAAAUAUUUUUAUGAAAGCUGUUGUUGCUUUUCAAAAGGAAAUUGUGGAUCAUUCAAAAAACAUAAAAUUAUAAACAAAAUGUUCUACAUUCAUCAGCUGGGAGUUGUUGAUGUUAAGAAACACCUCAUCAACUUAAAGGUCAUGCGAUUAAACGAUAAUAAUAUUUGGGAAGAAAAUGGACUUAUUGCAAAUAGACUUAAAAGAAAUCUU